rnacentral:rRNA from 1 species
AGCGAACGUUAGCGGCGGGCCUAACACAUGCAAGUCGAGCGAGAAAAGGGCUUCGGCUCUGAGUAAAGCGGCGGACGGGUGAGUAACACGUAGGUAAUCUUCCCUUGAGCGGGGGACAACGAGCCGAAAGGCUCGCUAAUACCGCAUAAGUUCAUAGGGACUCCGGUCUUUAUGAGGAAAGCUAGGUAGCAAUAUCCGGCACUCGAGGAGGAGCCUGCGUAGCAUCAGCUAGNGGUGGGGUAACGGCCUACCAAGGCGAAGACGCUUAGCUGGUCUGAGAGGAUGAUCAGCCACACUGAAACUGAGACACGGUUCAGACUCCUACGGGAGGCAGCAGUGGGGAAUAUUGGACAAUGGGCGCAAGCCUGAUCCAGCCACGCCGCGUGAGUGAUGAAGGCC